AAACCAGCACCUCAAGUGGUCAGGAGGAUUAUUGGGCCUAAAGCAUCCGUAGCCUGUUCUAUAAGUUUCCGGUUAAAUCCACUAGCUCAACUAGUGGGCUGCCGAAAAUACUGUAGAACUAGGGAGUGGGAGAGGUAGACGGUAUUCGGUAGGAAGGGGUAAAAUCCUUUGAUCUAUUGAAGACCACCAGUGGCGAAGGCGGUCUACCAGAACACGUUCGACGGUGAGGGAUGAAAGCUGGGGGAGCAAACCGGAUUAGAAACCCGAGUAGUCC
rnacentral:rRNA from 1 species